ACAGCAGUCGCCGCGGGAAUACGAAGGGGGCUAGCGUUGUUCGGAUUUACUGGGCGUAAAGCGCACGUAGGCGGACUUUUAAGUCAGGGGUGAAAUCCCGGGGCUCAACCCCGGAACUGCCUUUGAUACUGGAAGUCUUGAGUAUGGUAGAGGUGAGUGGAAUUCCGAGUGUAGAGGUGAAAUUCGUAGAUAUUCGGAGGAACACCAGUGGCGAAGGCGGCUCACUGGACCAUUACUGACGCUGAGGUGCGAAAGCGUGGGGAGCAAACAGGAUUAGAUACCCCCGUAGUCCCUGUCUCUUAUAU
rnacentral:rRNA from 1 species